rnacentral:rRNA from 1 species
UGGGGAAUAUUGCACAAUGGGCGCAAGCCUGAUGCAGCCAUGCCGCGUGUGUGAAGAAGGCCUUCGGGUUGUAAAGCACUUUCAGCGGGGAGGAAGGCGUUAAGGUUAAUAACCUUGGCGAUUGACGUUACCCGCAGAAGAAGCACCGGCUAACUCCGUGCCAGCAGCCGCGGUAAUACGGAGGGUGCAAGCGUUAAUCGGAAUUACUGGGCGUAAAGCGCACGCAGGCGGUCUGUCAAGUCGGAUGUGAAAUCCCCGGGCUCAACCUGGGAACUGCAUCUGAUACUGGCAAGCUUGAGUCUCGUAGAGGGGGGUAGAAUGCCAGGUGUAGGGGUGAAAUGCGUAGAGAUAUGGUGGAAUACCGGUGGCGAAGGCGGCCCCCUGGACGAAGACUGACGCUCAGGUGCGAAAGCGUGGGGAGCAAACAGG